AGUCUCCCUUUAUUGCCCAGGCUGGACUGCAGUGGCGUGAUCUCGGCUCACUGCAAGCUCCGCCUCCCGGAUUCAAGCGAUUCUUCUGCCUCAGCCUGCGAUUCUUCUGCCUCAGCCCGCGAUUCUUCUGCCUCAGCCUCCCGAGUAGCUAGGACUACAGGUGCGACAAGAUAAUGAACCUCCAUUCCUCUGAGAGAAGAGUAUUUUGAAUAUUCGACUUUGCCCAUGAAUUUCCC
rnacentral:lncRNA from 1 species